UUAUAAUAUUAAUAAUAUAUUAAAAUAACAAUAAUUAUAGCUAAUCUAGCAAAUUCACUCAAUGUCCUGUUCUAAAUGUUACCAUUGGUGCAUGACGUCACCUGAAGAGUUGCUCUCCUUUUUUGCUUACAUAUGGAUUAUUGUUUGAGUAUCAUGAUAAUCAAAUUUGUGUUCGAAAGCUGCAUGAUUUUUGUCACUCUAGAGAAAGAAUGGUCUUCAUGUUAAUCUAACAACAAACUUGGAAUGCAAAAAUAAAUAACAUUUUAAUUAUAAUAUUUAGGUCUAAACACAACAUAUAAUUAUCAUGUCAAAUGGGUCAGCAUUCUUAUCUUAUUUUAAUUAUUAAUCAGAAUUAAAUUAGUUUUCACGAAACAGUAAAUAGUUCUAUGAUUGGGCAAAGUCGUGAUUGUCAAAACGGUUGAGCCAAUGAAAUCCUGAGAAUCUCUCGUUUGAAUUUGAGCGCCAACUUCGCCUAUAGACGUCACGUUCAGUCCGCCGCUGACACGCCCAUUUAGGAGAUUGGCUUCAAUCCACUAGAAGAGACAACUGCAGGUUGUGCAGAGGGAGACGUUCUGGUUGUAUCUGAAGUGUUUGGGUUUUACCGUCGUCACUCUGGACGUAUUUAGUCAUUUCUGACACCAUCUCAGCUGCAUUCUAAAUAAGACAUGCUGGAACCUUACUGGAAGGACAGACACCUCUUAAAGAUGAUGCAGUGACCACUGAUUUAAUGAUUGCUAACAAGAUCCUUGAGUGGAACUACUGUGUC